AGGCAUUGCAAGCAGAUCUUUGAUGCUGCAGAUCAGAGAUGGACCCUGGUGAAAACUGGAAGCUGGAUGAAACCAACUGGUUGUCUCAUGGUGGGAUCCAUCCCUUUGCCAGUGUGAAAGGAGACAAUGAGCUCUCCGAAGGUGCCCCAGCCCUCUUUGCUCUGGAUCAGCUGGGGCAAUGAAUUCUCCAUUCUUGGAGAUAUUCAAAAGCUGUCUGGACAUGGUUCUGGGCGACCAGCUCUAGGCAGUCCUGCCUGAGCAGAGGGCUUGGACCAGAUGACCUCCAGAGGUCCCUGCCAACCUCAACCAGUCUGUGAUUCUGCGACUUCCCCGCUGCUCUGAAAACUCACCUUGUCACCAGUAAGGAUUCUCUACAUGCACCCACUGGGCUGCUCACCACAUGCAGCACUGGUGGAAACUUGCAGUAGGAGGGUAAAAACUGCAGGAGUGCAGAAUGGUGAUUUUUAUCAUGUGUAACUAUCUCUGCUGUAAACCUCUGCUGCUAAGAGCCAGGAUCUUGAAAAAAUUCCUGUAAAUACAAAAAUAAACUGUAUGAUGCCU